GACGAACGCUGGCGGCGUGCUUAACACAUGCAAGUCGAACGGAAAGGCCCCUUUGGGGGUACUCGAGUGGCUAACGGGUGAGUAACACGUGAGUAACCUGCCCUUGACUUCGGGAUAACUUCAGGAAACUGGGGCUAAUACCGGAUAGGAAUCCUUGCUGCAUGGUGGGGGUUGGAAAGCUUCGUCGGUUGUGGAUGGACUAGCGGCUUAUCAGCUUGUUGGUGGGGUAGUGGCUUACCAAGGCGUUGACGGGUAGCCGGCCUGAGAGGGCGACCGGCCACAUUGGGACUGAGAGACGGCCCAGACGCCGACGGGAGGCAGAAGGGGGGAAUACUGAACGAGGGGCGGAAGCCUGAUGCAGCAACGCCGCGGGCGGGAUGACGGCCUUCGGGUUGUAAACCGCGUUCAGCAGGGGCGAAGCUUGUGGUGACGGUACCUUAAGAAGAAGCACCGGCUAACUACGUG
rnacentral:rRNA from 1 species